GCACAAGCGGUGGAGCAUGUGGUUUAAUUCGAUGCAACGCGAAAAACCUUACCCACCUUUGACAUGUACGGAAUUUGCCAGAGAUGGCUUAGUGCUCGAAAGAGAACCGUAACACAGGUGCUGCAUGGCUGUCGUCAGCUCGUGUCGUGAGAUGUUGGGUUAAGUCCCGCAACGAGCGCAACCCUUGUCAUUAGUUGCUACAUUUAGUUGGGCACUCUAAUGAGACUGCCGGUGACAAACCGGAGGAAGGUGGGGAUGACGUCAAGUCCUCAUGGCCCUUAUAGGUGGGGCUACACACGUCAUACAAUGGCUGGUACAAAGGGUUGCCAACCCGCGAGGGGGAGCUAAUCCCAUAAAGCCAGUCGUAGUCCGGAUCGCAGUCUGCAACUCGCCUGCAUGAAGCCGGAAUCGCUAGUAAUCGCGGAUCAGCAUGCUGCGGUGAAUACGUUCCCGGGC
rnacentral:rRNA from 1 species